rnacentral:lncRNA from 1 species
CUAACUUUGAAGACUCUUUCCAUUCUGACUCUGGGGUUGGCCUUGAACCCUGUUUUGGCCAAUAGAAAGAAGCAGAAGUACUAUGUGCCAGUUCUAAAUCAAGACUUCAAGAGGUCUUGCAAGCUUGGGCUCCUCCUCUUGGGACCUUGCUCGUCACCACAAGCAAGGCCAGGCUAAGCCAACAGGGCAUGAGAGACCAGGCGGAACGGAGCUGAGUCAGUCCAGCUGAGGUCAUCCGUGACUAGCCAGUCCCCAGCUGACCCACCAGCUGACCAUGGAUGCAUGCGUAAGCCCAGAGGAGCCGAGCCCAAAGCAGCAAAAAUGCCCAGCUGUGCCGUGAGUCUGUGACCAAAAAUGAAUGUUUAUUGCUACAAAUUGAGGUUCUGGGGUGAUAACUGCUCAGCAUUACUUUGGCCAGAGAUAACUGAUGAAGCAUCUGCCAUCCUGGUCAUGCUUAGCUCAACCCUGAGUCCAGUGACUUGUUGAGACUCCCUGGGGAAGGCGCUAUCUGCAUUUCGGUGUCUCCAGGUUACGCCCGGACGGAAAGCCUCCCGCUGCCCUGGUUGCUCUGAGUACAGCCCUUGAGUGAAGCUGCCGAUUCACUGCACAGUCAUUCUGAGUUGGACAAUCAUAUUCAGUGUUGGUCAACACUAUGCAAAGUUUUCUCAUUGCCUUUUCUUUUAUGCCUGGCCAAUGUUUCCCACCUUGCUUUUUGCUCACGGGUUUCUCUCUCAGAGCUUUUGUUGUGUACAUGUGCAUGCUGUCACUGUCUUGCCACGAGAUGAAUAAAAGAAUGACUGAGACUGAUUCACUGAUCUCUACUUCUCUAAGAAGAGAUGAAAAGGAGACACCUCUGAGUCCCGCAGCGAAAUGAAAUUUAAGGAAUAAGGAGAAUUGACUGACACCUGAAGAGAAGAGAAAGCAUUAAGAGCAAACAAGAGCAGAAGUUAGAGAGGCAUUUAACAAGCAGGCAUAAAUGUAUAACAUGAAAUCUCAGCAGGGAAAGCUACAGUCCAAAGUACGGCAGGACAGGGUUGCAGUGGGUGUGGAUUGGAGCUGCUGCAGGACAGAAGGAAGAAUCAAGCUUAGACACAGCAUAAAUGAUGACUUACAAGUAAUUUGAAGGACACAUGCACGCCUAUGUUCACAGUAGCAUUAUUCACAAUAGCCAAGACAUGGAAACAACCUAAAUAUCCAUUGAACAGAUGAAUGGACAAAGAAGGUGUGGUACAUAUACACAAUGGAAUAUUAGUCAUUAAAAAGAAUCAUGCCAUUUGCAGCAACAUGGAUGGAUCUGAAGAUGAUCAUACUAAUUGUCAGAAAUAGAAAGACAAAUACCGUAUUAUAUCAUUUGUGUGUAAAAUCUAAAAUAUGACAGAAAUGAACUUAUUUACAAAACAGAAAUAGAGUCACAGAGAACAGACCUGUGGUUGCCAAGAGGGAGUGGGUGGGGGGUGGAUUAGAAGUUUGGGAUCAGCAGAUGCAAACUAUUAUAUACAGAACAGAUAAACAACAAGGCCUUACUGUAUGGCAGAGGGAAUUAUAUUCAACAUCCUGUGAUAAUCCACAGUGGAAAAGAAUAUAUAUACAUAUGUAUGUAUGUAUAGCUGAAUCACUUUGCUGUACAGCAGAAAUUAACGCUGUAAAUCAACUGUAUUCCAAUAAAAUAUAUUAUUUAAAAAUUAAAAAAUAAAAG